rnacentral:rRNA from 1 species
UAAAGGGAGCGAUUCCGGCUACGGAUGGUCAUGCGUCGCAUUAGCUAGUUGGCGGGGUAACGGCCCACCAAGGCGACGAUGCGUAGGGGUUCUGAGAGGAAGGUCCCCCACACUGGUACUGAGACACGGACCAGACUCCUACGGGAGGCAGCAGUGAGGAAUAUUGGUCAAUGGCCGCAGGGCUGAACCAGCCAAGUCGCGUGAGGGAUGACGGUCCUAUGGAUUGUAAACCUCUUUUGUCAGGGAGCAAAGGGCGCCACGUGUGGCGCUUUGCGAGUACCUGAAGAAAAAGCAUCGGCUAACUCCGUGCCAGCAGCCGCGGUAAUACGGAGGAUGCGAGCGUUAUCCGGAUUUAUUGGGUUUAAAGGGUGCGCAGGCGGAAUGUCAAGUCAGCGGUAAAAUUUCGGGGCUCAACCCCGUCGUGCCGUUGAAACUGGCGUUCUUGAGUGAGCGAGAAGUAUGCGGAAUGCGUGGUGUAGCGGUGAAAUGCAUAGAUAUCACGCAGAACUCCGAUUGCGAAGGCAGCAUACCGGCGCUCAACUGACGCUCAUGCACGAAAGCGUGGGUAUCGAACAGGAUUAGAUACCCUGGUAGUCCACGCAGUAAACGAUGAAUACUAACUGUCCGGGCAGAAUGAUGCCUGG